AUUGAACGCUGGCGGCAGGCCUAACACAUGCAAGUCGAACGAGUGGCGGACGGGUGAGUAAUGUCUGGGAACCUGCCUGAUGGAGGGGGAUAACUACUGGAAAAGGUAGCUAAUACCGCUUACCGUCCGUUGUGCCCAGAGUGGAUUAGCUUGUGGGUGGGGUAACGGCUCACCAAGGCGACGAUCCCUAGCUGGUCUGAGAGGAUGACCGGCCACACUGGAACUGAGACACGGUCCAGACUCCUACGGGAGGCAGCAGUGGGGAAUAUUGCACAAUGGACGAAAGCCUGAUGGAGCAAUGCCGCGUGUAUGAAGAAGGCCUUCGGGUUGUAAAGUACUUUCAGCGGGGAGGCGUUACCCGCAGAAGAAGCACCGGCUAACUCCGUGCCAGCAGCCGCGGUAAUAC
rnacentral:rRNA from 1 species